rnacentral:rRNA from 1 species
CCCUUAGAUGUUCUGGGCCGCACGCGCGCUACACUGACGCAUUCAACGAGUCUAAAACCUGGUCUGAUAGGGCUGGGUAAUCAUUUAAAUGUGCAUCGUGAUGGGGAUUGAGCAUUGUAAUUAUUGCUCAUGAACGAGGAAUUCCUAGUAAGUGCAAUUCACUAAAUUGCGCUGAUUACGUCCCUGCCCUUUGUACACACCGCCCGUCGCUCCUACCGAUGAAUGGUCCGGUGAGGACUCGGGAUGACCUUUGGAUUUGACGAUGUUCAUUCCACUGUCUGUCAGAACUUGUUCAAACCUUAUCAUUUAAAGGAAGGAGAAGUCGUAACA